rnacentral:sRNA from 1 species
GCUGGGCACCAUGGCAAUUGCCUGUAAUCCAGCGACUCAGGAGGCCGAGACAGGAGGAUCACAAGUUCAAGACCAGCCUCAGCAACUUAGCUAGGCCCUCAGAAACUUAGUGAAACCCUGUCUCAA